UGCACAAAUCCAAUUUUUUAAAAACAGAAUAAACUGUGUAAAUAUCAGAUAUGUUGGUUUUGUACUAUUUUCUGUGAAACAACAUUUAAACUUGAAUGUAUUAAGUUGAGGAUUAUUUCACUUUCUGUUUUCUUUUACGUUUGGCACACAUUCUACAUAUGUGGGGAAAAACCUGGGGGAAGAGGGCGGGGCUUAGUCUCUAUAACAUAAAGAAUGAAAAGGUCACAUCAGUCAAGAGAACAAUGAAGGAAGCGACUCUACUCUUACUUUGCUGGACAACAAUUCAAGCUCGUCUGACUGUGAGUCCCAGCAGCUCUCAGUUCUUUAAAGGAGACUUUGUGUCUCUGAGCUGUGAGGAGGACGACAGCUCUGCUGGAUGGACUCUGAGGAGAAACGCAAGCACAGAACAGAGGACUCAGUGUGGAGCUGACUGGGGAAGGUGGUCUGGUUCCAUCUGCAACAUCAGUCACAUCUAUGAAUGGCACAGUGGGGUUUACUGGUGUGAGUCCAGAGAGGGUCCCAUCAGUAACAUGGUUAACCUGACAGUCACUGGUGGAUCAGUGAUCCUGCAGAGUCCUGUCCUCCCUGUGAUGGAGGGAGAUGACGUCACUCUGCUCUGUAAAACAAAGACCACUCCCUCCAACCUCCCAGCUGCUUUCUAUAAAGAUGGCUCCCUCAUCAGGAAGCAGCCUACAGGUCACAUGACCAUCCAGCAUGUUUCCAGGUCUGAUGAAGGCCUCUACAAGUGUGACAUCAGCGGUCAUGGAGAGUCUCCAUCCAGCUGGAUCACUGUCACAGGUAAACCUACACCCACACCUCCACCUUCAUCCACUUAUACAUUGACCUCUCCUGCUGCUUCGUCUCCUCUACUCUCUGUGUUGCUGACUACUGGAGCCAUCUGUGUUGUAAUUCUAGUGGUGUUACUGAUUCUUUGGAUGGAUCAUGGACACGUUCACAGAUGGCUGGAAGGGUGUUAUUCAGCUGCAGUCGACUCAGCAGUGCAGAGAGAAGACGUCUAUUAUGCAGAAAUCUUAAUUUAAGAGAAGCAUAAGUAAUCAAAGACAAGAGGUACAGGUGCUCUUCUUUCUCUCUUUCAUGGCUCAGAAGAAGUCCAGCUUUUGCUAACAUUUCAGUUUAGGCCAAAAGGAAAAUGUUAGAAAACAGUUAAUUUCUCGUAAGCGAAGCUUGUAGAUGAAAAUUUGUAAUAAAAGGUAAGAAAGUGUGUGUUGGUUCAUUUCAGCAGUUAACUCAUAGUGGCAGUGUUUAUGAGAAUAAAAGAAUGAGCAUUAAUUAUCACUUUCAGUUAAAAAUCUUUUGAUGGCUUUAGCUUUACCCAGACUACACAUAAUUAUUACUACAUACAUGCAAUAAGAUAAGAAGCUGAGACCAGAAUCUUAGAUUUAUGGUCAUAUUGUGCAGUUAAAGCAGAAUAAUGUUUAUUUGCUGUCACACGGGAAGGGUUGCAAACUCAGUGAAUGAAAUGAAAUGAAAGUGAAUGAAAGUUUAAGACUUCAGGCCAACAUUCUCAUCCUCGUAUAAACUCCCUUGAUUUUCACUCCUAAAUUUACGAUUUUCUUGGUUUUAUUCUAACAGUAGCGCUCUGGGUCACAAAGGAAUAACAUAUCACAAUUCCUGUCCUGCCAAAAGAAAAGCAAAAGAAUAUAAACAGAAGACUUCAAGAAGAUGUAAAUGUCACUUUUUGAAACUGCUGCCCAGCAGCUGUGAAAGCCUCCGCAGUAUCAAAAUGACAUUCAGGGUAAAACCACAGCAGCAGCCUCCACUUCUUUUGUUUUGGUUCGUUUUGUUUUGUUUUUUCCAGUGUGGGUAGAGUUCUCUGUACUCUGCAGAAUGUUUAUUGUAAUGAGUCAAUUUUGUAUUUUCCUGUUAAAAUGCAUCAACAAAAAGCACAAAAAAAAUCUAAAAGAAAAUUAAAUCUCUUUAAAUUAUAUUGAAAUGGUAUUAAAUUAAUAGUGAUAUCAUUUGAAUUUCAGGACAUAAGAAAAAUAGCAGGUUGUAAAAUGAUUUACAGAUGAACAGCAGCACAAAACAUAUUGCAAUGUGUCAACAAAAAACUGAGCUAGAAUGCUAAGGACCAGAUUAUUUUGUUCCCACAUGGACACAUUUAACCAGCUUCUUCAGUGAAUCGUAAUGAGUACUGCAAAUGUUUCCAGGCUCUUUUAAUUUACAAAUAUAAACACACCUAUAAUUUGUGAAGAAGUAGGACGUAUUCUUUCUCUUUCCCUGUAAACUCUGAAAGACUUUUUGUGUCAAGUCUAGUCAAAGUCAAAGUCAACUUUAUUGUCAUCUCUGCUAUGUACAGUUCAGUAUAUAGAGAGGCAAGACGACGAGGCUCCAGUUCCAUACAGUGCAAAAGAACAAUAAUAAAUGUAGGAAGAAUAAGAAUAAGAAGAAUAAAUAUAUAUACACUUGAGACUGAGGUAAGGGGAGUAAGGAUACACUUUGAGGUAGAGGGGUUAGUAGAAGUCUAAAAUUUACAAUUUACAAUUGAAAUUUAAAGUGACUUUGAAAUGGUUUAGAAUGACCAACAUAGCAGCUUUACAGUUUACAAUGUGAAAUAAAGUGACCAACAUGAGCAGGUUUCCUGAGAGUAGAAUUGUCCAUAGAGCAGCAUCUGUAUUUACAAAGGCAGUGGUAUGUGGAGUCCAAUAGAGUUCGUUAGUGGUUUGUGUGGGGGUGUGUGGUGGGGGGGGAGUGGGGGAGCUGGCGAGUUCAGGCGUAAACGGUAGUAACCAGACCGAAAAGCAGCGCAGCAUGCUUUUUAUUUGUUUUUGUUUUUAAUGUCUCUGUAAAGCACUUUGAAUCACCUUGUUGUUGAAUUGUGCUAUAUAA